AAGUCGUAACAAGGUUUCCGUAGGUGAACCUGCGGAAGGAUCAUUACCUAGAGUUGUGGGCUUUGCCCGCUAUCUCUUACCCAUGUCUUUUGAGUACUUACGUUUCCUCGGUGGGUUCGCCCGCCGAUUGGACAAUUUAAACCAUUUGCAGUUGCAAUCAGCGUCUGAGUGAAAUUAUAAUACUUCAAAA
rnacentral:misc_RNA from 1 species